AGAUGUCAAUGAAUGCCUGUCAUCUCCAUGCGGAUAUAACGCAACAUGUAACAAUACAGUAGGAUCAUUUAACUGUUCCUGUAAACAAGGUUUCGAAGGGGAUAGAGUAAAUUGUUCAGGUAAGAUAGUGCUUUAGCCCUCUUCAAGUUGCGUUUCAAUUAGUCUUCCUCAAUUAUUAAACAAAUCGCAACAUUUAGAUUAGUUUCUGUGUUGACUUACACUUCCUCAGUUAAACAGUUACAUUUUCAGGUAAGUUUUUAUAUUAGAACAUCAGAACCCCUAAUCUACAAACAUAGCGACAUAUAAUCUUCAGAAAUAUCUUACCGAGUUCUCAGUUUAUUUCAAUUAAUUUAAAAAAUCUUCAAGAAUCUUAUACGAUAUUAAAAAAUCUUCUGAAAUAUUUAAUCAACCUCUCCGUUCAAUUUAAUUAGUUAAUUUAAUUAUAGACCAAUUAACACUAACUGCGUGCUCCUAAUUUAUUUAUCGACGUUAAUGAUUGUAGAUGUCAAUGAAUGCCUAUCAUAUCCAUGCGGACAUAACGCAACAUGUAACAAUACAGUAGGAUCAUUUAACUGUUUCUGUAAACAAGGCUUCGAAGGGGAUGGAUUCAAUUGUUCAG